CUUUUCUGUAUUAGGUGGAAAAUCAACUUUCAUUGAUUUUGUUUUGAAUGUUGGUCGCUUUGCAAGAGUGAUGAACAUUUGACUCUGCUUCUAAAGAUGGUUCCGGAGAGCCAAGAAAAGGCCCAAAACAGUUUUACAAACAAAUUAGAAAAGAGUUAACGUCUCCACCUAAUUCAAACUGAACCAGGUACCAGAGAGUUACCCGGACAAAAGCAAGAUUGAAAGCAGCUGAUUAAUUGCCUUCUAGCGGAGGGCAUGGAAGGCCAUCAGUCUUCAGUACUCGAAGUAAGGAUGGUGGUGGCGUAUUUGCCCAUCUGUUUAGACCCACCAUCCCUUUGGCAAGCGAAGCCGCAGUGUGAACGACUGAAUUCGCUUCUCGGGGAAUCGAAUCCCAGCAUAUUUCAGAGAACUGGAGGCUUCUUCUUCUAAUCUCUUCAAUUCAAGGAAUUGAUGCCGUCCAACACAGCCAUUGUCUUUGUGUCUAAUGGUUAGCCAGCUAUUCUCUGUCAGCAGCUGUUGAGUCCCACAUCAAUAGAAGUGAAACUCAAGGAGGUGAAUGAGAAUAUAAAAGACAAUUCCCACAAGUGGAUGGGUUCUGCAUCAUUGGAGAGACGAGGAGUGUGCAUUCGUAUACUGAAACAUUUCAGGGAAGUAAUUCCUGGGGAUAAAGUGAAGCUGAUAAUUGUGGAUGCUAUUAUUGAUGACGAUGAGAUCAAACUAGACAAGCUAGCUAAUAGAUGUGAGGUUGAUGGCCCAUACUAACUAGCAGAGAAAGGAGAUUGAAGGAAUGCU